GACGUAGGGCGCGAGCGUUGUCCGGAUUUAUUGGGCGUAAAGAGCUUGUAGGCGGUCUGUCGCGUCUGCUGUGAAAAUCCGGGGCUCAACCCCGGACUUGCAGUGGGUACGGGCAGACUAGAGUGUGGUAGGGGAGACUGGAAUUCCUGGUGUAGCGGUGAAAUGCGCAGAUAUCGGGAAGAACACCCGUGGCGAAGGCGGCUCUCUGGGACGGUACUGACGCUGAGACGCGAAAGCGUGGGGAGCGAACAGG
rnacentral:rRNA from 1 species